rnacentral:lncRNA from 1 species
ACUCGGCGCCCCCACCCGGGCCCUGCCGGCAGGCACGAGGGGCGGGGCGCGCGGCCCGAGGUGAGGGACCGCGGGCCGGAGGGGAUCCAGCGAGUCAGCUGCCGCCGAGGGACCAGCGCGGGUCUAGCUGCUGCCGCCAUCCCCACCAUCCCUGACCGCGCCUGCCCGGGCUCCGCGCCAGGAGGAGCGGCCAGGCCCAGCCCCGGCACCGCGCGCUCGGGGACCCCGACGGCGCCCAGCCCGGCGAGGGGCCUCAGGGGGAGGACGAGGAGGAAAGGCGGCCUCGCCGGGGACCCGGCCAUGGCGCUGGACUUCUUGGCUGGAUGCGCGGGGGGUGUGGCAGGCGUGCUUGUGGGACACCCGUUUGACACGGUCAAGGGCAAGCUGUGAGUGGCAGGCACCAGACCAGCCUUGUGCUUGCUGGCAGCGCUACACGUGGCCGCUCUUCCCACUGAGCAAAGGCACAGCUGACGGCAAGGCAGGAUGCGCACCCUGAGCUGGGUUUGCGGGAGACUUCCAGUCUCCUUUUCUGGUGAGCCUAGGUGUGUGU